rnacentral:rRNA from 1 species
GACGAACGCUGGCGGCGUGCUUAACACAUGCAAGUCGAGCGGUAAGGCCCUUUCGGGGGUACGACGAGCGGCGAACGGGUGAGUAACACGUGGGUGACCUGCCCUUAGCUCUGGGAUAAGCCUGGGAAACUGGGUCUAAUACCGGAUAUGACUCCAUGACGCAUGUUGUGGGGUGGAAANCCUUGUGCGGCUAGGGAUGGGCCCGCGGCCUAUCAGCUUGUUGGUGGGGUGAUGGCCUACCAAGGCGACGACGGGUAGCCGGCCUGAGAGGGCGACCGGCCACACUGGGACUGAGACACGGCCCAGACUCCUACGGGAGGCAGCAGUGGGGAAUCUUGCGCAAAUGGCGAAAAGCCUGACGCAGCGACGCCGCGUGAGGGAUGACGGCCU